rnacentral:rRNA from 1 species
CAGCCGCCGCGGGAAUACGUAGGUGGCAAGCGUUGUCCGGAAUUAUUGGGCGUAAAGGGCUCGCAGGCGGUUUCUUAAGUCUGAUGUGAAAGCCCCCGGCUCAACCGGGGGGGGUCAUUGGAAACUGGGAAACUUGAGUGCAGAAGAGGAGAGUGGAAUUCCACGUGUAGCGGUGAAAUGCGUAGAGAUGUGGAGGGACACCAGUGGCGAAGGCGACUCUCUGGCCCGAUACUGACGCUGAGGCACGAAAGCGUGGGGAGCAAACAGGAUUAGAUACCCGAGUAGUCCCUGUCUCUUAUAC